CCCUUAGAUGUUCUGGGCCGCACGCGUGCUACACUGAGUGGAUCAGCGGGUCAGGUUGCGCGAAAGCGUUUCCUAAUCUUUAAAUCCGCUCGUGAUGGGGAUUGACGGUUGCAAUUUUCUGUCAUGAACGAGGAAUACCUUGUAAGCGCGGGUCAUCAUCCCGCGCUGAAUACGUCCCUGCCCUUUGUACACACCGCCCGUCGCUCCUACCGAUUGAAUGGCUUAGUGAGGCCUCAGGAUCCGCGCUUAAUGUGUGGAGAAUUUGGACAAACUACGUCAUUUAGAGGAAGUAAAAGUCGUAACA
rnacentral:rRNA from 1 species